GCCUUCGUGGUGUAGUGGUCAGCACGCUCGACGCGAAUGCGAGAGGUCCGUGGUUCGAGUCCCGGCGAGGGCA
rnacentral:tRNA from 1 species